AUCGCUUCUGAGCCUUUUGGUAUCUGAUCUUAUCAGUUUAAUAUCUGAUCAGUUUUCUAUAUGAGGACAACAUAUUAAAUAGAUUUUUACGAUAGGGAGACGAAAGAGAGGCUUGCUCCGUCCACUCUGCACAUUGACUCAUUAUUGCUGUACUUCUGAGAAUGAUACACCUUUU
ensembl:snRNA U2 U2 spliceosomal RNA